UUUCAUUUGUAUAAUGUUAAAAUUUAUAACUAGUGAUUUUAAGAUCACUAUGUGAUAUUCAUACUAAUUUUGAAUUCAUUUACCACCAUUACUUAGAUGACUAAACUUGUGCAUAUUUUUAUUUGUAUUGUAGGAGAUGCAAACUAAAAUAAUUUAAGUUGAUUGGGAUAUUAGAGGAACCUAAAAGGCAAAUUAUACUACAUUUUAAUUCAAAUUUCAUUUGUAAUAAUUUCUACAACUUUUGUUUAUAUUCAAAAUUCUUUGUUAAACAAUGCAUCACUAUUUGCUCAACAGUAUGGUUUCUCUGUCUAUCCAUGCGUCAACUCUCCUAGCUCUCCUAAUUUUUAAAAUAGAUAAUGAUUUUGCAUCACCAAUAAAUCAAAUAAAUCCCAUUGAAUGUCAUAAUCAACACCAAUAAGAGGACUUUUCAACCCAUAGAGAAAGAUCAACACAUUCGCUAAAUGAUUCAAUACCAUUUAGGAGAGUGCAAGUAUCAAUCCUUUUGGGAGAGUGCAAUUUUAAAAGAUGAGACUCUUAAACCCAAGGGGGAAACUCUCAAACAAAAUAGCUUGAAAUGCUUUUUAAAAAAAACUCUAUAAUACUUCGGGAAUGAUAAAAUCCAAAACAACGGAAACAGAAACAGAAAAGCAAGAAAGCAACAAAACUAAUUGCCUUCCAUGAUCAACUAUUUUAUUGUCUUUUCAGGUGGAAACUAAAUAUUUGAAAUGGGAGUCUGCAUCAGUAGUGGAUCUCCAAGAUUGCAACCCCGACAUAGUUUUGGGUGCAGAUGUAAUGUAUGAUCCGUUAUGUGUACCGCAUCUUAUUCGAGUGCUUACCAUUCUUUUGGCUCGAAAGGAGUAUAAACCUCAUCGAUGGAUGGAAAAUUGUUGUAAUGGAACCCUCAGAAACGGUCACAUAAAUGAUGAAAACAACUAUGGGGAUGGAGGGUCACUAAAUUUCAAUCGUAGUAGAACUUGUGAACACACACCUAAGAAUAACAACAACGUUUACAAGUUCGAUUCUCAUCGAUGCAAAACAUGUAGAUGUAAUGGGUUAAAUAAGAAACAUAAUGAUAGUAGCCAUGGAUAUUGUACCUCCUCAGGUGAAGCAAGUUGUUAUGAUGCAUCGGUUUGUAAAUCUGCAUAUGAUGGGAGUAAGGAUGGUGGACCAAUCGCUUACAUAGCAACAGUUAUCCGCAAUCCAGAUACAUUUGAUUGUUUUUUGAGAUUAACUGCCCAAGCCGGUCUCUCCAUAGUGGAUAUAACUGAAAUGUGGAAGCCAUUGAAUUUACUCCCGUACAUGAUUUCAUAUGAUCGGUCAAGUAUACGAUUAUUAAGUGUCCGCUUCAUGUAACCAAAAUUUUGAAUUUGGUAUUUGGGCAUUCGAAUUGCAUCAAUCAAUGUUACAUUAUUGAAGAACUCGAGAGCGAAGUUUAUGUCUACUUGUCACUAUAAUUCUAUUGAUUACAAUUAUUUCAUCUUUA